rnacentral:lncRNA from 1 species
UUUUUCUUUUUUCUUUUGAAACAUAAGGAAAUAUUUUUCUAAGUUGGGUCCUUUUAGGCAGCUGAGGUUAGAAUGUCAGUUUGUUGUUGAGUCACUACUGUUGCUAGCAAAAGGUACAGAUGCUAUGGAUUUCUUAAGUCUUCUACCACUUACUGUAAAGAAUGUUAUAAUUUAAUCACCAUCAUAAUCUUUGGCUUUGAUGUGCUUAGAAGGUGAAGUUGCUUCCUUAUUAGGGAGGGAAAAAAAACCCAAACAAAACCCACAGGACUACACGUGUUCCUAAAUCUCAGCUAUUUUACAGCAGACUGUAUCUUUUUCUCUCUAUCUCUACUCACCCUGUACCCACAACUCACCACAAGCACAUGAUCCUGCCACUACCACUGUUGAGUGCCUCUGUAUCACAAGGCUCUUGCAAGGUAUCGUACUUAGCUGGCCUUAGCCAUCACCAUACAGCUGGGCACCAGACCUGGUUUGGGCUCCUCUCUCCCUUUUAAAGGGCAUCUGGCCCGACACAGCCUCAUUUGAACACCUUUGAAUGAACUGCCAUUCAAAAUCCAGCUAUUUUAUCUUGAAGUUUAGACAAUGCUUCCAGAGUCCCUUAGUUCAUUUGAUGUAAGUCUAUGCCACUUCUGAAAAGGGCAGUUUUACUCUUCCACACACCCCCUCAUUCAUUCCCAGUAUGUCCCUGCAAUGAACCACUGCAAGCCAGGCUGAGCACCCGAUCUGACCGAAACCCACUUUGUGGGAGCGGGGCAAGAGAUGAGCUUCUACUCAUUUUCUGGUUAUACAAAUGUUAGUACUAAUGCAAAAGGAAGCAGUAGGGACACACCGGCAGCUAGCUCUCAUGCCCUAUUUGUUCCUGCCCUGUAGUGAUGCCUUUGUCAGGACCACCUUUUCAAAGUCAUUAAUAUAAAUACUUAAAAUCAGUGUUAAAGCUGUCCUUGAACUCCUGUGUUAACUUCAUGCUACCUUGACAGUUCCCCUUUCUGCCGUACUAACCCUCCUUCAUUUUUAAAAGACUUGAUGAGAUGGAUAAUCUCUGUAGUAUUUUUUUAUAUUCUACAGUUUAACUACAGUUUCUAAUACAAAAUUCUAUCACAAAGCUUCAUUGAAAUACUUCACCAGAAUGGCACCAUUCUUAGCUGAAUGAGAAUUCCCCAUGGAAUAAAAAGUCUAAAAUAGCUCCAAGAUGCAAAUCCCUCAUUUGUCUCCCUGGGUGAUCUCAUCUGCCUCCUUCUACAUCACUAGCACAUACUGAACCUGCUCCAUGUUCCUUGAAUGCUUCUCUCCAGCUUCUUCCCAGCUGCUUCCCAUCAGGUAUUAUGUCUCAAAGAUAUUGACUUCCCAGAGUGCACGGUUGCUCUAGCAGGAUCUCAAGCAGGGAUAUACAUGACAGUGGGAGGCAAAAGAAGCAAGGAGCGGCCACAAGCACAGCGCCUCCCAGACCUUGCCUCCUGUAUGGAGAGAUUUCCGAUACACUUGUCCGUAUACUGAAAACUUCCUAUGUGAUCUCAGGAAUAUAAAGAGGAAGAUGUUCCUCUGCUCUUAUAAACACUGUACUGAGUGAUCAGAGCAUCCCUAAUGCUGCCAUAGGAGGUUGUGGACAGAAGUCUAAAUGCCUUCAAAAAGGAAACAGUAGUUAUGGACUACAGAUGCAUUAUUAAAGACACAUGGUGAGAGUCCAAGCUUCAUUUCUAUUUGCCUGACGGUAUCUGAGGUUCUGAUAAUCAAUGAAGUAUACCUCUCUACAUUCACUUUUGCUAAGCCCGAGCAUCAUCCAUUGUCACAGUGGGAUACAGAGAGGGCUACAGAUAGGCCACAGACCUGACCCUGUACGGCUCUCCUGAAGAGAGUUAACAAACCUCUUCAGGCCAAAGGACAACCACAGGGGAACAAGCAGAAACGCCAGCUGCUGCCUCUUCCCCUCCCACACAGAUCUCAGCUCAGACAAAAGGGCCAACAACAUGAGACUGAGAUUUUUGUUUAUAUUUAAAAGAAGCAGCCUUAUUAAUUUAAUUUUUUAAAUUUUUUUUCCUCCCCAGGCUUCUCCCUCUUCUUUAAGCUUUGCUUUUCUGCCACUGCAGCCCCAAACUGACCACAGUUGUUGAGGCUCCUGAAAUUUCUUCAUCUUCUCAUCCCCCAAAUUAAACCACAUUCAUAUUCACCUGUGUACUCUCUCUAUUCAUGUGAGUUCUCCUCAUCAUCCCUUAUUUUCUUAUUUUCCAUC